UUCGCAAUGCCCGAAAGGGUCUGAUCUAUCCCUGGAGGAAGCACGGGCUAAGUUCGUGCCAGCAGCCGCGGUAAGACGAACCGUGCGAACGUUAUUCGGAAUCACUGGGCUUAAAGCGCGUGUAGGCGGAUGGGAACGUCGGAAUCUGAAAGCCCCCGGCUCAACCGGGGAAGUGGAGCCGAAACGACCUGUCUGGAGGGACGUAGGGGGACCUGGAACUUCCGGUGGAGCGGUAAAAUGCGUUGAGAUCGGAAGGAACGCCCGUGGCGAAAGCGAGGUCCUGGACGUCUUCUGACGCUGUGACGCGAAAGCUAGGGGAGCAAACGGGAUUAGAUACCCCGGUAGUCCUAGCCGUAAACGAUGGGCACUAAGUAGAGGGGUUUUAAUC
rnacentral:rRNA from 1 species